UACAGAGGGUGCGAGCGUCGUUCGGAAUUAUUGGGCGUAAAGCGCUUGUAGGCGGCCUGUUAAGUUCCGUGUGAAAUCCCCUGGCUUAACCAGGGAAGUGCGCGGAAAACUGGCGGGCUUGAGUGCCGGAGAGGGUCGCGGAAUUCCCGGUGUAGAGGUGAAAUUCGUAGAUAUCGGGAGGAACACCAGUGGCGAAGGCGGCGACCUGGACGGACACUGACGCUGAGACGCGAAAGCGUGGGGAGCAAACAGG
rnacentral:rRNA from 1 species